rnacentral:misc_RNA from 1 species
CUCUCUCUCUUCUCUCUGGCCUGCGAAAGCUAGGAGAAUAGGAGAAGGCAUCGCCAUUGCCCAUUUAUCGGGCCAAGAAAUUCGGAUUCUCUCAGAUCCGGAUAGUAUAAAAAAUCUUCCAUCUAUCCGAUCCGAAUCAGCGAUGACUAGGCGGUGCUCGCAUUGCAGCCACAACGGUCACAACUCGCGGACCUGCCCUAACCGCGGGGUCAAGCUCUUCGGGGUCCGAUUGACCGACGGGUCGAUCAGGAAAAGUGCUAGCAUGG